CCAGGUUGAUCCUGCCAGUAAUCAUAUGCUUGUCUCAAAGACUAAGCCAUGCACGUCUAAGUGUGAACACUUUGCACUGUGAAACUGCGAAUGGCUCAUUAAAUCAGUUAUCAUUUAUUUGGUGGUCUCCUUACCACUCGGAUAACCGUGGUAAUUCUAGAGCUAAUACGUGCAGCAUAUCCCGAAUUCUGGAAAGGAUGUAUUUAUUGGAUAAAACGCCAAUCGGGGCUUGCCCAUUGUUGCGGCGAAUCAUGGUGACUUGUCGAAUCGCAUGGCCUAUGAGCCAGCGAUGUUCCACUCAAAUUUCUGCCCCAUCAGCUUUCGAUCGUAGGAUAGAGGCCUACCAUGGUGGUAACGGGUGACGGAGAAUUAGGGUUCGAAUCCGGAGAGGGAGCCUGAAAGAUGGCUACAACAUCCAAGGAAGGCAGCACGCGCGUAAAUUACCCAAUUGUGACAUAGGGAGGUAGUGACAAUAAAUAACAAUACUGGGUUCUUUCGAGGCCGGUAAUUGGAAUGAGAACAGUCGUAAACUCCUUGAACGAGGAUCCAUUGGAGGGCAAGUCUGGUGCCAGCAGCCGCGGUAAUUCCAGCUCCAAUAGCGUAUAUUUAAGUUGYUGCAGUUAAAAAGCUCGUAGUUGGAUUUUGGGUGGGAGGGGUUGGUCCGCUCUUGCGGGCGUGUACCGGCCCUUUCGCCUCNAGUUGGAUUUUGGGUGGGAGGGGUUGGUCCGCUCUUGCGGGCGUGUACCGGCCCUUUCGCCUUUCUUGCCGGGUAUGCGUUCCUUGCCUUUAUUGGCUGGGAUCCAGAGYCGGCGCUGUUACUUUGAAAAAAAUAGAGUGUUCAAAGCAAGCCUGUGUUCUGAACAUAUUAGCAUGGAAUAACGCGAUAGGACCAUGGUCUUAUUUCAUUGGUCUUCGGGAUUGGGGGCAUUCGUAUUCCAUUGUCAGAGGUGAAAUUCUUGGAUUUAUGGAUGACGAACUUCUGCGAAAGUAUUUGCCAAGGAUGUUCUCAUUAAUCAAGAACGAAAGUUGAGGGAUCGAAGACGAUCGGAUACCGUCCAAGUCUGAACCAUAAACGAUGCCGACUGGGGAUUGGCGGAUGUUUAAUGGAUAACUCUGCCAGCACCUUGUGUGAAAUCAAAGUUUACGGCUUCCGGGGGGAGUAUGGUCGCAAGGCUGAAACUUAAAGGAAUUGACGGAAGGGCACCACCAGGCGUGGAGCUUGCGGCUUAAUUUGACUCAACACGGGGAAACUCAYCAGGUCCAGACAUAGCAAGGAUUGACAGAUUGAGAGCUCUUUCUUGAUUCUAUGGGAGGUGGUGCAUGGCCGUUGUUAGUUGGUGGAGUGAUUUGUCUGGUUAAUUCCGUURACGAACGAGACCUCAGCCUGCUAAAUAGCUACGCGGGGACCUUUCCUCGUGGCCAGCUUCUUAGAGGGACUGUUGGAAGACUAGCCAACGGAAGUUUGAGGCAAUAACAAGUCUGUGAUGCCCUUAGAUGUUCUGGGCCGCACGCGCGCUACACUGAUGAAUCCAACGAGAUGCUUGCUUGGGUCGAAAGGCCCGGGUAACCUUCUUAAGGUUCAACGUGACGGGGAUAGAUUGUUGUAAUUAUCGAUCUUGAACGAGGAAUGCCUAGUAAGCGCGAGUCAUCAGCUCUCGCUGAUUACGUCCCUGCCCUUUAUACACACCGCCCAUCACUCCUACUGAUUGAAUGGUCCGGUGAAGUGUCUGGAUUGAAGUGAUCUCGGCUGUUUGCCGCUUGGGGUGCUGUAAGAAGUUCAUUGAACCUUAUCAUUUAGAGGAAGGAGAAGUCGUAACAAGGUUUUCGUAGGUGAACCUGCGGAAG
rnacentral:rRNA from 1 species